rnacentral:lncRNA from 1 species
UUUAAAGCUUCAUAUUUAGACAUUUCUUUAUUUGUAGUUUGAAAAUCUAUUUGAAUGAAACUUCAUAUUUAUAUAACUUUGGAAGAAACUCGUAAUGUUUUUGGUGGAUCAAAUGAAGGUAAGGAACCUAACGAGAAGAGAUGAUGAGAGAGAAGAAAGAAUAAGAAGAGCCCGACAAAGAAAAGACCCACCAUCAUAACAUAACGGUAGUGUUAUUAUUAUUUUAAUUUGUCAUAAAUUACAACAAUAAUGAUAAAGUGCAUAAAGUUUAACUUAUAUGAAUUUCUAUAUGUGUUUUUUUUCUUUAUUGAAUUAAUAUUCUCUAAUUAUGUCCAUUGAUUGAUAUUAGGAUCUCAUCAUCCUCGAUUGGGAAACUACUACAAGUAUAUCAUCCUUAAAAAAAUAAAUGUAAGCUCCACAUUAUACAAAAUUUAUUUGGUGAUGGAAUGAAACCAAUAGUUAUCUUACUGCAUAGCUUAGAACAAUGGAAUUUGCAAGUUAGAUGGCAUAACUUGGUCGGUCAAAACAUAAGAGUUUCACCAAGUCAAGAUAAAACUUUAGAAUUUUGAAGGUGAAGUGAAACUCCUCCAUGCCCACCCGAAGCAUGAAUAAUUAGAUAUUACGAGUGAAGAGAAUAUGUUUGUGUACUGCUUUGUUAUCGCUUCUAUCACAAUUUCAUCAUGGGCUUGAUUUCAUGAUGCCAUAAACUGUAAAACCUAGUGUCACAGAUAAUACAAAUUUCAAGUAGUUGAUUUUCUUACAUCACUAUAAUUCAAUGCCCGUUGCAGAGCAGGGCAGCUCUCUAGUUCAUUAUCAAAGUAUUGACUUUAGACUCAAAAUUUUACUAUUAAUUGUUGAAAAACUAUGGAAUAUUAAAAGAACUAAAUCUCACAUGUAAUGACCCAAAAUUUAUGGGCAUCGAAAAAGUACAAUAUCGGACCUCCGUCUUAGUAAAUUGAGUUCGUAAAUAAUUAUUAGGAAUAAUUAUGAGUCUAGUAGUGUGUUUAAUUAGGCUUUAAUUAAGUGAAAUUAGCUCAAUUUAGAGAAAAUAGUAAAAAAGGACUAAAUUGAAUAAGGGGUAAAAGUUGAAUUAUAGAUUAAUAGAAUAUAAAAAGGAUUAAAAGGGCAAUUAAGCCAUUAACAAUAAAUGAGACGGCAUAUAUGUAAUAAAAAUCUAAGGUUUUUAUGUUAUAUUUUAAUUAUAUAAUUAAUUAUUUAGAUAUAAAUUAUGUUAAAUUAAUUUAAAAUAAUUAUAUUAUAAGAUUUUCAUAUGAUAAAUAAAAUAUGAUUUUGGCAAAUGGAUGGUGAUAAAAAUAUACAAUUGUAACAUAUUUAUUUAUUUACUUUUUAUUAAAGUAAAUAGGUAUUUAUUAUUAUUUAUAAUUAUCAGAAUAGAUAUUUAUUAUAAUUAUAUGAUAUUAUAAUAUUUUUGUAUGACAAAUAAAUUAAAUGGUGACAAGUGUAAGGUGAUGAUGAAUCUAAGUGUUCUAAAUAAAAUAUAUACAUUUGUAAUUUAUAUAUUAUUUACUUAAUAUCAAAGUAAAUAGAUAUUUAUUAUUUUUAAAGAUAGUUAUUAAUUAAAUAAUUAAUUAUAAGAUUUUUAUGAAAUAAUUAAAUAAAAUCAUGACAAAUGUAUGGUAUUGAUCAUGUACAAAUGUAGAAAAGUAAAUGUAUACAUUUGUAUUAUAUUAUUAAUUAUAUGAUAGAUAUUUAUAAUAACUAAAUUAUAAUAUAUUAAGUAAGCAAAUGAAAUAAUAAAAGAAUAAAACGAAAGACAAAAGAAGAAACAAAGAAGAAAAAGAACAGAAGCUAUUUCGAAACAGGGGAAAGGAAGGAAAGAAAGAAAAAUAAAAGGGGAAAUAGGGAAUUUAAAGCUUGGAGUUUAAUUGGCAAGCUUAAUUAAGUCAUUUUCUCUUAACUUUGAUAUUUUAGAAGCUUUAGAACAAAGUUUUGUUGAAAUUAAGUUGAGGCUUUGGAAGUUUUUAGGUUUUUGAACAUAGUUUGUGUUAAACAAAAUAAUGAAUUAGGGAUUUAAUUAAAUGAAUUUUAAGUUAGAAUUGAUUAAAGGAUUAAAUUGUAAACUAGGCUAUAAGUUUUAUGUUAAAGGGAUUAAAUAGAGGAAAAUUCAAAAUUAGGGAAUUAUGCUGAAAAUUUAAUAGUUAAAUUUGAGUUUUGGUGAAGUUUGAAUAAAAAUAAAGUAUGAAUUGAAUUAGAAAAGUAAGUAAAAUUAUUUAGGAUUAAAUUGGGAAUAAGGUAGGAAUUGAUUAGAAAUUCAAUUAUUUAUUAUAAUUAGUGCUGUAAUUAAUAGUAUAAUUAUUUUAAUUUUCGUAGCUAACAAAGAACCAGAGGUAUCAGUUCAAAAGGGA